rnacentral:misc_RNA from 1 species
GAUGAAGAACGCAGCGAAAUGCGAUACGUAAUGUGAAUUGCAGAAUUCAGUGAAUCAUCGAAUCUUUGAACGCAUAUUGCGCUCUCUGGUAUUCCGGAGAGCAUGCUUGUUUGAGUAUCAGUAAACACCUCAACUCCCUUUUCUUUUUUGAAAUUGGAGCUGGACUUGAGUGAUCCCAACGCUUUCUUCCAAGAAAGUGGCGGGUUGCUUGAAAUGCAGGUGCAGCUGAACUUUUCUCUGAGCUUUAAGCAUAUCUAUUUAGUCUGCCUAAAAAACAGAUUAUUACCUUUGCUGCAGCUAACAUAAAGGAGACUAGUUCUUGUGCUGACUGAUGCAGGAUUCACAGAGACAGCUUCGGCUGACUUUGUAAACUCGAUCUCAAAUCAAGUAAGACUACCCGCUGAACUUAAGCAUAUCAAUAAGCGGAGGA